rnacentral:rRNA from 1 species
GAUGAACGCUGACAGAAUGCUUAACACAUGCAAGUCUACUUGAACUUCGGUUUGUUUGGCGGACGGGUGAGUAACGCGUACAGAACUUGCCUCACAGUUAGGGACAACAUUUGGAAACGAAUGCUAAUACCUGAUAUUAUGAUUUUAGGGCAUCCUAGGAUUAUGAAAGCUAUAUGUGCUGUGAGAGAGCUUUGCGUCCCAUUAGCUAGUUGGAGAGGUAACGGCUCACCAAGGCGAUGAUGGGUAGCCGGCCUGAGAGGGUUAACGGCCACAAGGGGAGUGAGACGCGGCCAAUACGACGACGGGAGGCAGCAGGGGAAAAAAAAGGACGAUAGGCAGAAAGUCUGAUACAGGAAUUCUGAGUGCACGAUGAAGUUUUUUGGAAAGUAAAAUGAUUUCAGUUAAGAAGAAAAAAAUGACGGUACCAACAGAAGAAGUGACGGCUAAAUAAGUG